rnacentral:rRNA from 1 species
AUGCGUCAGUACUGGUGGGGAGUUGAUAAGGGGAAGCGCAAAAUGGCAUGGCUGAGUUGGGACAAAAUGCGUCUACCCAAAUCUAUGGGAGGCAUGGGCUUCAGGGAUAUGCGGGCUUUUAACCAAGCCCUACUCGCAAAACAAGCAUGGCGCCUUAUAGAUAUGCCAGACAGUUUAUGUGCUAGGCUUCUAAAGGCGAAAUACUUCCCGGCUGGUAAUUUACUGGACUCGGUGUUCUCUAACAAUGGAUCUGCAGUGUGGCAAGGGAUUUUGUAUGGGCUGGACCUCCUGAAGAAGGGGGUUAUUUGGCGAGUGGGGAAUGGGGCACUCAUCCGUACUUGGCGUGACCCUUGGAUCCCAAGAGCAACCUCAUUCCGCCCUAUCACUCCUAAACGCACAUCC